CGUCACCGAUCCAACCGCCUGCCCGCUGCCGGGACAUGGCACCAAUCCUAUCGUUAGCGGUUCGCCAAACGU
rnacentral:sRNA from 2 species